UGCUUAGCUUGACAAAUGGAGCUAUUGGCUUUGAAUUGUAUUGUGGAAAUGUAUUACCAACAGAGGUGCAGGUGCCAGCCUAUUGAAAUAAAGCGUCAAUGAGGGUGAGAAUCCUNCUUGUCAUGUGCAGCCCCUUGUGNACGGUGUAUAUUUGCUGAGUCACACUCCUUGGCAUUGGAAUGCAAAGUGGGUGGUAAGUUUCAUGUAAAGGUAAACAUGCAAUUGAGACUGAUAGCACACAAGUACC
rnacentral:rRNA from 3 species